rnacentral:rRNA from 1 species
AAACUCAAAGGAAUUGACGGGGGCCCGCACAAGCGGUGGAGCAUGUGGUUUAAUUCGACGCAACGCGAAGAACCUUACCAGGGCUUGACAUCCCCUGACCGCGUAUGAAAGUACGUUUUCACCUCGGGUGACAGGGAGACAGGUGGUGCAUGGUUGUCGUCAGCUCGUGUCGUGAGAUGUUGGGUUAAGUCCCGCAACGAGCGCAACCCUUAUCCCCAGUUGCCAUCAGGUAAAGCUGGGAACUCUGGGGAGACUGCCGGUGAUAAACCGGAGGAAGGCGGGGAUGACGUCAAGUCCUCAUGGCCCUUACAUCCCGGGCUACACACGUGCUACAAUGGCAGGUACAGAGGGCUGCGAAGCCGCGAGGUGGAGCGAAUCCCAGAAAACCUGUCUCAGUCCGGAUUGAAGUCUGCAACUCGAGAGCAUGAAGUCGGAAUCGCUAGUAAUCGCGGAUCAGCAUGUCGCGGUGAAUACGUUCCCGGGUCUU